rnacentral:rRNA from 1 species
AUUGAACGCUGGCGGCAGGCCUAACACAUGCAAGUCGAACGGUAACAGGAAGAAGCUUGCUUCUUUGCUGACGAGUGGCGGACGGGUGAGUAAUGUCUGGGAAACUGCCUGAUGGAGGGGGAUAACUACUGGAAACGGUAGCUAAUACCGCAUAACGUCGCAAGACCAAAGAGGGGGACCUUCGGGCCUCUUGCCAUCGGAUGUGCCCAGAUGGGAUUAGCUAGUAGGUGGGGUAACGGCUCACCUAGGCGAUGAUCCCUAGCUGGUCUGAGAGGAUGACCAGCCACACUGGAACUGAGACACGGUCCAGACUCCUAUGGGAGGCAGCAGUGGGGAAUAUUGCACAAAGGGCGCAAGCCUGAUGCAGCCAUGCCGCGUGUAUGAAGAAGGCCUUCGGGUUGUAAAGUACUUUCAGCGGGGAGGAAGGGAGUAAAGUUAAUACCUUUGCUCAUUGACGUUACCCGCAGAAGAAGCACCGGCUAACUCCGUG